rnacentral:rRNA from 1 species
CUUCGGGAAACCGGAGCUAAUACCGGAUAAUAUUUUGAACCGCAUGGUUCAAAAGUAAAAGACGGUCUUGCUGUCACUUAUAGAUGGAUCCGCGCUGCAUUAGCUAGUUGGUAAGGUAACGGCUUACCAAGGCAACGAUGCAUAGCCGACCUGAGAGGGUGAUCGGCCACACUGGAACUGAGACACGGUCCAG